rnacentral:rRNA from 1 species
UACGUAGGGUGCAAGCGUUAAUCGGAAUUACUGGGCGUAAAGCGUGCGCAGGCGGUUUGGAAAGAAAGGUGUGAAAUCCCAGAGCUUAACUUUGGAACUGCACUUUUAACUGCCAAGCUAGAGUAUGUCAGAGGGGGGUAGAAUUCCACGUGUAGCAGUGAAAUGCGUAGAGAUGUGGAGGAAUACCGAUGGCGAAGGCAGCCCCCUGGGAUAAUACUGACGCUCAUGCACGAAAGCGUGGGGAGCAAACAGG